rnacentral:rRNA from 1 species
GUGGAGCGUGUUGUUUAAUUCGAUGCAAAGCGAAGAACCUUACCCAGACUUGACAUCCUUGGAAGGACUACGAAAGUAGACUGUGCCCUUGGGAGCCAAGUGACAGGUGUUGCAUGGCCGUCGUCAGCUCGUGUCGUGAGAUGUUAGGUUAAGUCCUUUAACGAGCGCAACCCUUGUAGUUAGUUGUAUUUUUCUAACUAGACUGCCCUGGUAACAGGGAGGAAGGAGGGGAUGAUGUCAGGUCAGUAUUACCCUUAUGUCUGGGGCUACAAACACGCUACAAUGGCCGGUACAAAGGGAUGCCAACCCGCGAGGGGGAGCAAAUCCCAUCAAAGCCGGUCUCAGUUCGGAUAGCAGGCUGAAACUCGCCUGCUUGAAGCUGGAAUCGCUAGUAACGGUAAGUCAGCACAUUACCGUGAAUACGUUCCCGGGUCUUGUACACACCGCCCGUCAAACCAUGAAAGUCGCCAAUACCUGACGUCCUAGCUUGUCUAGGCCUAAGGUAGGGGAGAUGAUUGGGGUUAAGUCGUAACAAGGUAACC